UGGCAGUGGGAUUGUAUGCUGGCACUCCUCUGAUUCAUGUCUAAAAUCCAUAAAUGAGUGCCUUAGGAGGCCAGAGGAUCCCCUGGAACUCGAGUGACAGCUGGAUGUGAGCAACCUGACGUGCUACUGAAAACAGAAGUCAGGUCCUUUGGAAGAACAGCACAUGCUCUUAACCCCUGAGGCCUCUCUCAAGACCUGAAUUACAUUUUUUUAUUUAAAUGUGUGGAACUAACCCUGUAUUCCUGGGGAGAAGCCAGCUUGAUCAUGUUGAAUGAUCUUUCUACAGUGUUCACCCAUUUGGGUUGAUUCCCAGACUCUAGCUAAUGUUUUGCUGUGGGUCUGUAUCAGUCUCCUUCAGUUGCUGAAUGAUGCCUCUCUGAUGACAAUUGGGCCAGGCACCAAUCUAGUCUCUCUGGGUCUGCAAAUGGUAGCAUAGUUACCCUUUAUUUUACAGCUAAUAUUCACUCACAAGUGAGCAUAUAUGAAUUGUUGAUGGAUGGAUUACAUCGACAGAUUUACAAAUGUUGCACUAUCCCUGUACCUGUGAAAUGAAACCUACUUAAUCAUGGUGGAUGAUCUUUUUGUUGUGUUCUUGGAUUUGGUUUGCCAGUAUUUUUGCAUCAGUGUGCAUGAAUGAAAUUGGAAAUGUGAACUAUUGCCUUGUGGCUCUCAAAGAGGCCUUUGACAAAUGUUUCAUCAUAGCUGGGGAAAGAUGAAGGCAGCAUCAUAAAGAUUGGUUCUUUAUAAGAGAUGGGCCUGGGGAAAUGUGUGAGUAGCAUGGUGUUGUAGAAUAAAAUAGAGAAUUACAUUUUGACAUGACAGUUGAUUUAAAGUCUCAAGGUAACUCUCUCUGUCACCAGAGAACCAACAAUGACCCAAUCAGGUCAUGUCUCCUUGAGAGAAAAGAGUUCUAGUUGUGGAGACAAUAGUGUU